rnacentral:rRNA from 1 species
UGGGGAAUAUUGCACAAUGGGGGGAAACCCCGUGAUGCAGCGACGCCGCGUGAGUGAAGAAGUAUUUCGGUAUGUAAAGCUCUAUCAGCAGGGAAGAUGAUGACGGUACCUGAGUAAGAAGCCCCGGCUAACUACGUGCC